rnacentral:rRNA from 1 species
CGAAGCAACGCGAAGGACCUUACCAGGCCUUGACAUGCAGAGAACUUUCCAGAGAUGGAUUGGUGCCUUCCGGGAACUCUGACACAGGUGCUGCAUGGCUGUCGUCAGCUCGUGUCGUGAGAUGUUGGGUUAAGUCCCGCAACGAGCGCAACCCUUGUGUUUUAGUUGCAAACAGGUCAAGCUGUGCACUCUAGACAGACUGCCGUGGACAACACGGAGGAAGGUGGGGAUGACGUCAAAUCAUCAUGCCCCUUAUGAUCUGGGCUACACACGUGCUACAAUGGCCGGUACAACGGGCAGCGAAGGAGCGAUCCGGAGCGAAUCCUAAAAAGCCGGUCCCAGUUCGGAUUGCAGGCUGAAACUCGCCUACAUGAAGUUGGAGUUGCUAGUAAUCGCGAAUCAGAAUGUCGCGGUGAAUGCGUUCCCGGGUCUU